AAAAAACACAAAUGGCUUCUGUAGUGCAUACUGCAGCUUUUAUAUAUACAGUGCAGUAUAUGUGGCUAUUUGGGCGCUUAUAUUUUGCUUUUUUCCUACUUUUUUUUGCCACGGUUAAAUAAUAAUAGUGAUAAUAAACUAUAAUGUCAUAAAAACAUAAUAAGGAUGACCAUAAGUGCUUUAGAUUAUUAAUUUUAUUUAAAGGUGACCCAUUGAGCAGGUUAGGAUCAGUCUAUGGGCUACAACGAAAUAUAUUCACUACAUUUUUUACACAACAUCCUUCUGAGAUAAUGAGAUUUUAGUCUGUGUCAGUGUGUUCUGAUGAAAUGUUCUGGAACUCAGCUUGGGUUGCUUGGUAACGGGCAGAGUUCCACUGGGGUUGCUAGGUAACGGGUCUGGGCUUCUCUGGGGUUACUAGGUAACGGGGAUGGGCUUGGCUGGGGUUGCUUGGUAACAGUGCAGUGCCCCUUGAGUGUGACUUAAUAAUCGGGCUGUUUUUGUUUUGUUUUCCCACACACACAAAAAUAUUAACUUUUUGCCAAAAAGUGACAGGGUGUUUUUUUUUUUUUUAAGUGCUUGGGCUGUUUUCCAAAGCAUUUGAGAUACAAACGGAAGUAUAAAAGUGAGCCAAAUUAUGAAUUUUG